rnacentral:tRNA from 1 species
UCUAGAAUAGCUUAAAACUUUAAAGCGCUGACCUUGUAACUCAGAGAUAAUUUAAAAUUUUCUAGAU